UUGGUGUCAUAGGCAUAUGCUGAAAUUCAACUAUAAAUGGAUCUUUGUUGUAGUGUUAAAACCUGUGGCUAGGAUAAGCGUUUCCUUGAGUAGAAGAGUACUGUAAAAUGGCAUCACUCAAAGCUGAGAAACCUGCUGAAAAAUCAUGUUGCUCUUCAGGGCAGGUGAAGAAAGAGUCUGCUGCCAAACCUAGUUCAGGAACUCCAAAAGCCCCAGCCUCCAAACCAGCUCCAAAGAAAACCUCAAGCCAGGUUAAGAAGAAGGCAAGCAGCAAUAAAUAAGCCGAAGAUGUGUAGUGAAAUGUAUGACCAGAAAGAAUAGUUGUUGGACUUGGAAUUAUGGGAAGAGUCCAUAAGGAUAGUGUUAUAUGGUGCUCUUCAACCAAGUUUAUUAUCAGUACUUGUAUGUAUGGUCUAUGUUACUUGCUUCUGUUACUUGUAGCCUUGCCAUGCAACUCCAAGCUGCCUUGGCCUAAUAAAUAAAUAAAUAAUCCUUACUUGAUGA